AGCGUUGCUCGGAAUCACUGGGCGUAAAGCGCACGUAGGCGGAUUGUUAAGUCAGGGGUGAAAUCCUGGAGCUCAACUCCAGAACUGCCUUUGAUACUGGCGACCUCGAGUCCGGGAGAGGUGAGUGGAACUGCGAGUGUAG
rnacentral:rRNA from 1 species